CACGUAGGUGGUUUGAUAAGUCGGAUGUGAAAGCCCCGGGCUUAACCUGGGAAUUGCAUUCGAAACUGUCUCACUAGAGUCUAGCAGAGGGAUGGGGAAUUCCGGGUGUAGCGGUGAAAUGCGUAGAGAUCCGGAGGAACAUCAGUGGCGAAGGCGCCAUCCUGGGCUAAGACUGACACUGAGGUGCGAAAGCGUGGGGAGCAAACA
rnacentral:rRNA from 1 species